UUUCUCUUGUUUUUAAUUGGAGAUAUAGUCUGCCCACUGAUAGUUUUGAAGGGCCGCGGUAUUUUGACCGUGCAAAGGUAGCAUAAUCAUUAGUUUUUUAAUUGAGAACUGGAAUGAAUGGCUGGAUGAGAUAAUGGCUUUCUUAUAAUUAAUUUAUUAUAAUUUAACUUUUGGAUUAAAAGGUCUAAAUGUAUUUAUGGGACGAGAAGACCCUAUAGAGUUUAAUAAUAGGUAUUUGUUAAGUUGUUGGUUAAAAUAAUAAUAGGUUUAUAAUUAUUUAGUUGGGGUGACUGUGAGAAUUAGUUAACUCUUAUUUAAUUUUUUUUACUGAUUUGUAUGUAUUGGAUCCAAUAUUGUUGAUUAUGAGACUAAAUUACCUUAGGGAUAACAGCGUAAUCCUUUUGGAGAGUUCUAAUCGAUAAAGGGAAUUGCGA
rnacentral:rRNA from 1 species